UACGAAGGGGGCUAGCGUUGCUCGGAAUCACUGGGCGUAAAGCGCACGUAGGCGGAUCUUUAAGUCAGGGGUGAAAUCCCGGAGCUCAACUCCGGAACUGCCUUUGAUACUGAGGGUCUUGAGUCCGGGAGAGGUGAGUGGAACUGCGAGUGUAGAGGUGAAAUUCGUAGAUAUUCGCAAGAACACCAGUGGCGAAGGCGGCUCACUGGCCCGGUACGUGACGCUGAGGUGCGAAA
rnacentral:rRNA from 1 species